UACGGAGGGUGCAAGCGUUAUCCGGAUUUAUUGGGUUUAAAGGGUGCGUAGGCGGCUCAUUAAGUCAGGGGUGAAAGACGGUAGCUUAACUAUCGCAGUGCCUUUGAUACUGAUGAGCUUGAAUGUAGUUGAGGUAGGCGGAAUGUGACAAGUAGCGGUGAAAUGCAUAGAUAUGUCACAGAACACCAAUUGCGAAGGCAGUUUACUAAAGUACGAUUGACGCUGAGGCACGAAAGCGUGGGGAUCAAACAGG
rnacentral:rRNA from 1 species